rnacentral:rRNA from 1 species
AUGGAGAUCGCGGCGGAGCCCGUGCGGCUCACGGAGGAGCAGCGCCGCCGCAUCGAGGCCAGCCGCCUCGCCGCCCUCGAGAGGCUCAAGCGCUCCGCCGCCGCCGGCACCACCGCCGAGUCGCUCAGGCUCGCCAAGUGCCCAAGAACCGCCCAUCCUCUGCCCCCGCGUCCCUGCCCGCCGCCGCAACCGCUUCCGCCGCCCGCGCCUCCGACGGGGUUCCGGGCGGUGCUGGAGGUGUGCAGCCCCGACGAGUUCCAGGUGACGGUGGGCCGAACGGAGGGCAAGGCUUUCCCCGGGGAGGCCGACUGCCUGCGCGCCGUCGAGGACUGCGUCGCUUCGGCUGUACCAUUCUCCACAACACAAAGUCAAAGCGGGCAUAUUUCUUCUGUCUUUAAACUGGUGCACUAUGAGCUGGUGUUGCAAUGCUUGAGGAAGUUGACUGGCGUUGUUGUGCAAGAUAUACCUUAUAGAACAAGGCGUGCUGUUCAAAAUGCUGGCACAAACUGCGGUUCUGAUAAAGAAGUUGACGAGCUUCUCAUGAAGCUGCCACGUCGAUUACAAGAUGCACUUCUACCCUUCCAACUUGAAGGUGUGAAAUUUGGGCUUCGGAGGCAAGGGCGCUGCCUUAUUGCAGAUGAGAUGGGGCUUGGCAAGACUCUCCAGGCAAUUGCAAUAGCUUGUUGCUUCAAGGACGAGGGCCCUCUAUUAAUAGUGUGUCCAGCUGUUCUGCGUUAUACUUGGGCGGAGGAAUUGGAACGCUGGGAUCCUUCAUUUCUUCCAAAAGAUAUUCAUCUUGUGUUUGGUCGACGAGACAGUCUUGAAUAUUUAGAUUUUUGUCCGAAGGUCGUUGUUAUUUCAUACACGAUGUUAAGCAUCCUUCGGAAAAGUAUGAUUAAUAGGAGAUGGGCACUGAUGAUCAUUGAUGAAUCCCACAAUAUACGCUGCACAAAGAUGAAAGAAGAAAAUACUCAGACAAAAGCUGUACUGGAAAUAGCUUUCAAUAUCAACCGCAUUGUGUUGCUUUCUGGGACACCCUCUUUGUCAAGACCUUUUGACAUCUAUCACCAGAUAAAUAUGUUAUGUCCCCGUUUGCUUGGAGAUGAUAAAUUUGAAUUUGCAAAGACAUAUUGUUCACUGCAUGUUGCUCAAAGCUCCCAGGGUAAAAUUUACCAGGACUUCUCAAAAGGUGCUCGUUUGACAGAGUUAAAUGUUCUGCUCAGCCAGACUCUGAUGAUUAGGCGCUUGAAGGAGCAUUUGUUAAAUGAACUGCCGCCCAAGCGCCGGCAGAUCAUUAGGUUAAAGUUGAAGGCAUUGAAUAGCAGGACAGCCACCUCUAUUAUCCAAGGGGAUUACAAUAGCACAUAUAGUAGCUCUGAUGCUCCUAUAAUUGCCUCUUCUGAGAUAAGCAAUGACUGUGAAGAAGCAAAAGAGGGAAAAGAUGAUAGUUGCAAGAAAUCUCCAAGGCAUUUCUCCCCCCAGGAAAUUGGCAUUGCAAAAAUACCUGGGUUUAGUCAGUGGUUCUCAAAUCAUUUGAUGCAUGAUAAUCUGGACGCCCAGUCUAGUUGCCAGAAAACGCUAAUUUUCGCCCACCACUUGAAGGUUCUAGAUGGAGUGCAGGUGUUCCUCUCUGAGAAGGAGAUCAAGUUUGUUCGCAUUGAUGGCAGCGCACUUCCUAGAGAAAGGAAAGAAGCUGUUGAUUCUUUCCGUUUGAAUCCAGAGGUCAAGGUUGCAAUAAUAGGAAUUACUGCUGGUGGUGUUGGUUUAGACUUUUCAUCUGCUCAGAAUGUUGUUUUCCUGGAGCUCCCAAGAUCGUCUUCAGACUUACUUCAGGCCGAGGAUAGAGCUCAUAGGCGUGGUCAAACAAAUGCGGUCAAUAUAUAUAUAUUCUGCGCAAAGAACACAUCAGAUGAACCACAGUGGCUUCGCUUGAACCAGAGUCUGUUCCGUGUCUCGUCUAUGGUGAAUGGGAAGAAAGAUGCUAUAAGAGAAAUUGAGGUUGAUCAAGUUUACCACCUUGGGGAAAUCAGUAACACUAAGGAGAGACCAGAAAUUGAGUUUCUUCCAAAUUGUGGUGCAGGUCUUUUGGAAAGUGGCACUAUGUCUGUUGACCAUCUUCCUGGCAUCAGCGAUAUGGAGCUUGAGUCAGAUUUCACUAUUAGGACUAUUCCUCUACAGAUUGAGGAUGAAGGCCUUCAUUCAGGAAUGCAAUAUACUCCAGGUCCAGCAGUACAUGAAGAUACAGUUUGCAAUAGUUUUUCUAUUUCACCAGCUAUCUCUGGCUCUUCAAGUACACGAAGUAAAUCAACGAAGGUUCGUAGGAGCUUUUGUGAAAAUCGUGAUACUUUAGGUCUUCCAGGAACUAUUUCAGAUGGCCAUAUUCGAGUGGAGUAUCUGCGUUUCGAGGUUAGCCAUCAUACAGGUCGAAUCCACUUGUACAUUUGUGUUCCAGGACAUGAUUCAAGACCCAGACCACUUUUUCAGAAUUUUCUGCCUGAAGAAGUAGAAUCACCUUUAUGCUCUAGUAGUGACAAGAAAGCAAGUAGGCAGCUCUUGACUAAUCCAGCAUUUUGCAAUAUGUUCAAAGCAUUUGUAAAAGAAUGGUUAGAACUAAGACCAAUUGAUCAGAGGAAACUCCUGGGAAAGCCGUUACAGCUUCCAUUGAGCCUUGAGUUGUGCUAUCUGACAAAUAGCAUCAGCCACAGUACACAAGGAUUGAUUAAAGGGGGGAGUAAGAGGCGUAUAGCUCCAUUGAGUGUUGUCAGUGAUCAUUUGCCUGAAAAUGCUGAAUGGAGAAAGGUGGUUUUACGUCGUGGCACGACUAAAGAGAGAGAAUACACUCAAGGCUGGACUACUGAUGAUGAGCCUCUCUGCAAAUUAUGUCAAAAACUUUGCAGUGGGAAUCUUGCGAAAUCACCCGAAUAUUUUGAAGAUCUAUUCUGUAAGCUUGAUUGCUUCCGGUUGUACAGAUUGAGAACCAACCAGAGUGCCCUGCGGCAGGCACUGUUUCAAAUAGAACAUGGUAUAUGUUCCCAGUGCAAGCUUGACUGCUGCAAGCUCGUCAAACAUAUUAAACCCCUCAGCAACCAAAAGAGAGAAGCACACAUCAGGAGUGUUGCUCCAAAUAUUGCAUGUAGGAAGAAACUGCUAGCAAAGCUUGUCGAAGAGCCAACACAGGGAAAUGCUUGGCACGCAGAUCAUAUAGUACCUGUGUAUAAAGGAGGAGGGGAAUGCACACUCGAGAAUAUGAGGACGCUUUGCGUGGCUUGUCAUGCUGAGGUCACCAAAGAUCAGCAAAAGGAGCGAAAAGAAGCAAGAAAAGAAGAAAGAAGGAAGGCCGAAGAGCUUCUGAGAAAUGCUGUGAAUCAGCUGAAGGAUGAUGCAUGUGAAGCGACAGAAGACGAUGAUUCUUGGUCGGUUACAGUCCCUGGCAGUGCCUACUCAGCAGUACCGCAGGCUCCUCUUACGCCCAGAAAAUAG